rnacentral:rRNA from 1 species
UACGGAGGGUGCAAACGUUGCUCGGAAUUACUGGGCGUAAAGCGUGCGCAGGCGGUUCGUUAUGUCCGUUGUGAAAGCCCCGGGCUCAACCUGGGAAUGGCAAUGGAAACUGGCGGGCUAGAGUGUGGCAGAGGGGGGUGGAAUUCCGCGUGUAGCAGUGAAAUGCGUAGAGAUGCGGAGGAACGCCGAUGGCGAAGGCAGCCCCCUGGGCUAGCACUGACGCUCAUGCACGAAAGCGUGGGGAGCAAACAGG